rnacentral:rRNA from 1 species
UCGGGUUGUAAAGCACUUUUGUCCGGAAAGAAAACUUCGGCCCUAAUACGGCGGGAGGAUGACGGUACCGGAAGAAUAAGCACCGGCUAACUACGUGCCAGCAGCGCGGUAAUCGUAGGGUGCGAGCGUUAAUCGGAAUUACUGGGCGUAAAGCGUGCGCAGGCGGUUCGUUAAGACAGAUGUGAAAUCCCCGGGCUUAACCUGGGAACUGCAUUUGUGACUGGCGAGCUAGAGUAUGGCAGAGGGGGGUAGAAUUCCACGUGUAGCAGUGAAAUGCGUAGAGAUGUGGAGGAAUACCGAUGGCGAAGGCAGCCCCCUGGGCCAAUACUGACGCUCAUGCACGAAAGCGUGGGGAGCAAACAGGAUUAGAUACCCUGGUAGUCCACGCCCUAAACGAUGUCAACUAGUUGUUGGGGAUUCAUUUCCUUAGUAACGUAGCUAACGCGUGAAGUUGACCGCCUGGGGAGUACGGUCGCAAGAUUAAAACUCAAAGGAAUUGACGGGGACCCGCACAAGCGGUGGAUGAUGUGGAUUAAUUCGAUGCAACGCGAAAAACCUUACCUACCCUUGACAUGGUCGGAACCCUGCUG